GCAGUCGAACGAGAUUUUCGGAUCUAGUGGCGCACGGGUGAGUAACGCGUGGGAACCUACCUUUUAGUACGGGACAACGUUUGGAAACGAAUGCUAAUACCGUAUACGCCCUCCGGGGGAAAGGUCAGCCGCUAAAAGAGGGGCCCGCGUCUGAUUAGCUUGUUGGUAGGGUAAUGGCCUACCAAGGCUACGAUCAGUAGCUGGUCUGAGAGGAUGAUCAGCCACACUGGGACUGAAACACGGCCCAGACUCCUACGGGAGGCAGCAGUGGGGAAUAUUGGACAAUGGAGGCAACUCUGAUCCAGCAAUGCCGCGUGUGUGAUGAAGGCCCUAGGGUUGUAAAGCACUUUCAACGGUGAAGAUGAUGACGGUAGCCGUAGAAGAAGCCCCGGCUAACUUCGUGCCAGCAGCCGCGGUAAUACGAAGGGGGCGAGCGUUAUUCGGAAUUAUUGGGCGUAAAGGGCUCGCAGGCUGCUUGAACAGUUAGACGUGAAAUCCCCGGGCUCAACCUGGGAACUGCGUUUAAUACUAGCAAGCUAGAGAAAUAGAGAGGAAAGAGGAACUCCCAGUGUAGAGGUGAAAUUCGUAGAUAUUGGGAAGAACACCAGUGGCGAAAGCGACUUUCUGGCUAUUUUCUGACGCUGAGGAGCGAAAGCGUGGGGAGCAAACAGGAUUAGAUACCCUGGUAGUCCACGCCGUAAACGAUGUGUGCUAGAUGUUGGAGGGUUACCUUUCAGUGUCGCAGCUAACGCAUUAAGCACACCGCCUGGGAAGU
rnacentral:rRNA from 1 species